GGGAUUCCAGGUGCUGAACGAAGCAGAGGAGAAGCCCUGACUUACAUUUCAGCAGGGGAACUUCACCCAACAGGGAAUUGUUUCUCCACUGGUUUAUGAUCAUCUGUCUCUCCUGCCAGAAGUUGUGUCUUCCAGAGGCCAGCCAAAGCAAAAGCAGUGAUCCUGGCAUCUCCCUACCUUCUAUAGCAGUGGCAAGAUUCCAGGCCAAUCCAUGGACACUGAUCCCCAGGACUUUCAUUCAACUUGAAACGGAGAAAUUCAGCAGCAAGAAAUGACAAGGCCAAUGACAAAGCCAAGGCUUCCUCGAUACCCACCUGCAGGAGGCGAGCAGAGAGCCAACUCUUCCCUUUUUCUGGGUUUUCAAGCCCUUCGAGAUAGGAAUUGCUAUUAUCCCCAUUUUACGGAGUUAGGCAAGUCCCCCAAAGUCACAGAGCUGACGAGCGGUGGAGCUGGGAUUUGAACCGAGGCAUCUGCCUGCCGUAUCUGCCUGGUCUCGAAUGGCACCCGACCCAGGCCAAUGUCGUUGAUGAAUCCACUGAGGGUGACCCCACUCAGGCAUGGGAGCGUGCAAGGCCACUCAAGAGUCCAACGACCCCAGCCCUGCACUUCCUCUGCACCAUCUGCCUAAAGGAUGCGAAGAGCUGCUGCUAAUGACUACUGACACAACUCACCCCCCAGCUGGGAAUGCGGCCCAGGCCACUCCUCACAGAUGGAUGGACUGACGGCCAGAAGACCAGGACACCAGAGGUUCUUCAUGCAAGCGGUGCUUUCCCACUCUCCCAUAGCCCAUCGCCACAGGGGACUGGGUUGCAGCUCAGAGCAAGUGAGAAGCUGUGUGUGCCCUGCCACCCGGGAAGAAGUCACCAAGCCAGCCGGUGGAGCUGGAUGUUUUCCUUCCUGCCUUUUCAGUCUCCCUAUGAUCUCCAGCUCUCUUCUGUGGCCUUCUGAAAUAGCCAUUAAUUAGAGCCUGGUAAUUAACUUUCUGGCUCAAGUAAUAUUUUGCAAAGGAAUUCCAUUAAAGAGUCAAUUUGCAUAUUCUCAGACAUGGGGCCUGGAAACAGUCAGGGUUACUUGGGAGAAGGCAAUAGACCCCAUGGCACCCCUCGGGCCUGGCACCCCAGGCCUGGGCUCCACUGGCACCUAAAGGCACGAGGGGAUUAAGAGGGCUGCUGUCCUGAGGGCCCGGGUAUAUGCUGAGCCAUGGGAGGGUCUCCCGAAGAAGGUGGGCAGUUUGUUCACAAAACUGGACAGCUCAGUGGCCACAAACCCAAACAGAAACUGUUCACAAGCACAUAGAUGUGCACAUGUGAGAUCUCAAACACAGAACAUACUACACCCGAGGCACAAGAGGGUGUAUGUAAACACACACACACACUGGUAGACACGUACAUAUAAGAAAACAGAUACAAUGAUAAUCAUGGUUGCCAACACUUAUUGAGCAGUUAGUAGGUUGAACCAUAUGUGCAUAUUUGACCUACAAAAAUAGCCACUUCAUAUGGUCCAAUCCAAUAUGAAGUACCAAGCACUGUUCCAAAUGCUAGGCAUAUGAUUAUCAUUUCAAUGCACAGACAUGGACAAGGACAUUUACAUAUAACACACUCACACACCUUCAUGAGGGCAGGUGCAUACUUGCAAGACAUAUGAAAACGUGCACGUACAGGCACACACACGACCACAGACGCCUGUACGAAAAAAGGCUUCUCCAGCCUUUGAAACCCCAGCCUGGGGCUGAUCACAUUCUCACUAGCUAAUUUCCACUGUUCCUAAAAAUAUUGCCCAGCUCAGAUCUCUGGAAGAUACAUGAGGGAGCCGCAGAUCUAAAAGGAGGGUGAUAAAAAUGAGAAAGCAAAAAAUAAAUU